AGUCUAGGGUGGGCAUCACAAGGAAAUAUCUGACAGACUGUAAAAGUAGGAAGUAGAAUGUGAGUCAAGUAUGCACACAGACUCUUACUGCUUUGCAUUAUACUAUCUGGAUGUUGACUUUAGUUUUCAUUUAGUCUUCCUUUAGUCGGGAAAAUAUUGAAUACUUCUUGGCAUAAAACCUACUUGCAUGUAAAAACAGAGCUCUGAGCAGAAAAAUAUGAGAAAUUAUCUUCUCAUCAAUGCAAUUCAGAUUACAUGGCUGAUAACUUCAAAAUCAACAUAAUUUUCAGUCUGUAGCAGGCUUAUAAAAGUUGUCCUAACCUAUACAGUCUAAGAACAUCUAGUAAUUAUGAAAAAGAAUUUAGAGCCAAAGUGAAUAAGCAAUGGCAAAGUUAAUUGGACACCCAAGCAGCUUUUUAAAAAGUUUUGCACUUAGACAAGUUUCAAAACUGUUGCCCUCUAUACACAGAAAAUAAAUGAAAAUGCUCCUGCUGGAAAGAAGUUGAAAGAAUGGGUUAUUCUUCCCUAAAAGCAUGCCUUGUUCUCCUUUCCCUUAGCUAUGUGUUUGUAUGGCAAGUUUUCCAUAUCUGGCAGUUAUAUUAAUUCAGAUUGUUAAUAGUUUUCAAGCACAUAAGAUAGUGGUUUUAUAUUUUAUGUCCCAUUAAAAAGAAAUCUUAAUUAUGGACCCUUUUUAACUAUACUUUUGGUGUGUAUUCUAACUUUUGUUACUACCUUUCAAGCCAAAAGCAGAAUUGAAAAAUACUAAUUGGACAGCUUGUUUCCAGAAGACCCUGAGGUACAUUAAAGUGUAUUUUUGGAGGCAGAGAAAGAAGAAAAGCCCAGAUGAGUGGGAAGCCCUUCCCUGGCAACUUGCAGGUUUGCUACAUGGGCUUCAAAAGGAAGAAUGGUUCUGUUAUGGAGUUGUGUGAGAAGUAUCUGUAUUUGCUGCCUUGAUGUUUAUUUAUCAAGUAGUCUUUGGCUGUCACUAUAAGCUGCUCUUUGAGUAUUUCAGCAAGAUUUGAAGAACACAGUGUAACUUCUCAUACCUUCGGUGUCUGAAGCUCAUAAUUGACCUGAGCAUAGAAAAUCAUCAAGCAUCAGAAAAAAAUCCAUCAAACUGCCUGAAACAAAUGAGGACCUCUACAAGGUAGAAUUCCAGGUGUGAUCUUAUAACAAAUCUGUAUAAGAACAAUAUUUUACUCAAAUUUACACACUGGAAGUUUCUAUUAGGAUGGGAUAACCACAAUACCAGGAAAUUCUGACAAAAGACAGGAAGCUAAGGCAGAUGACAAAUAGCUCACAAAUCUCAAUGUGCUUUGGUUGACAGGGUAAUUUUUUUGAAAACAGUUCUUCAAAGUUCUUUCCCUUGCAGUUUUUGGAAAUAACAACAAAUGACUGUGUCCUCUUAUCUUAGAAAUCCUUUCAGCAAAAAUUUAGGUUUACAUUUUCAUUUUUAUCCACUGGAGUAUGUCUAGGAUUAAUUAUAUCCUAAAAUGGGGUAAAAUUCUUGUCAUGGUGUUGAAAUUGAAAUUUGAAGCAUUACAGUGAAUUUCAGGGAAAACUUUCCAUUGACAAAAUUUCCUAGGCAAUUUGCAACAAACUGCAAAUUUCCAUCUGAAACCCCAGCUCUAUUGUAUGAGAUAUUCAUACAGAUGUUGGCAAAGUUACAAAGUUGAGGCUUCUAUCCAAUGUAACUGCUGUAGUCAUACUACAAAUUUGUAAUUUUGAGACAGAGAUUCCAGUCUCAAGCUUGUGUGAGGGGAAUUAUUAAAUAUUACAAGAUUUUGCAUUAAAAAAUCACUAUCAAUCUUGGGAAACAAACCCCACCACUCUUCUAUCAUUCUGUGUGCUUACUGAUUUCUUCUGGGGCACUUUUCCUUCCCGGUUUCAUCCCUAACUCUUGUAAGAAAUCAACUGAAAUGAAUGCAAUUUUGAGUUUGUCUCUGCAUGGUUAAUUUUUAUUCAUGCCUCAGUGGUAGAUGUAGUGUCCCUCAUAAUGCUAGCUCUCAAAUGUCAAUAAUCUGAGAUCCAGUAACUGGAACUCUAAACAUCCAUAGUACAGGCUAACAUACAAGGGGACAGUUUAGCACACGGUGACAUAAUAAAAUAGACCAGUGCCACUUAAAUAAUCUCGGGUUACUAAAAAUGUGUGUCGUGAGAGUUUAGAUAUUUAUUUCACGUGUCAGUCAUCAGGAAUCGAGUGUAACUAGUCUUCAUAACAAUAAUUUUGAUUUUUUAACAUUCAUCCAGCACGAUUAUCUGGUCGCUGCUGUUCCAAAGCAUAGGGGAGAUUAUUUUGUUCAUUUAAAGCACGUUCUUAACCUUGGGGCA